UCAAAAACAUUGUCUUAUGAAUAAAAUAUUAGAUAAUACCUGCCCAGUGACAUAAGUUCAACGGCCGCGGUAUCCUAACCGUGCAAAGGUAGCAUAAUCACUUGCCUAUUAAUUGUAGGCUAGAAUGAAGGGAUAAACGAAAUAAAGACUGUCUCAAUUAAUUACCUAAAAAUUAUUUUCUAUCUGAAGAAAGGUAGAUAAUCUCGAAGGACAAGAAGACCCUAUAGAGCUUAAUUUUAAUUAUAGAACUACUAUAAAAAUAUUCGGUUGGGGCGACCCAGGGCUAAAAAUCACCCAUUAAAUAAAAGAUUAAUAAAUCUAUUAAAUGACCCUUUAAAGAUCACAAGAACAAGCUACCUUAGGGAUAACAGGCUAAUCCCACUUAAGAGUCCUUAUCAACAGUGGGGGUUGGCACCUCGAUGUUGGCUUAGGGUAUCCAUAUAGCGCAAAAGUUAUAUAAAGAUGGUUUGUUCAACCAAUAAUUCCCUACGUGAUCUGAG
rnacentral:rRNA from 1 species